GUUCCAGCUAGGAAUACAGAAUUUCUUUACCUUGCCUACCUCCUCAGUGUGUGUUCUUUCCUCAGGGACCUCGCAGAGAAGAGUAGCUGACCAGUGGCAGAACUCCAGUGUUUCUGGGUCUCAUGACCGAAUCCUAUCUAAAUAUCGCACCACUGAGUCUUUACAGUUAAUCAAGUCUUAAGAGUUGGAAGCAGUGGUCGGUGAAAAAAAGGCAAAGGUAUUUCAGAUAUUGAUUAUAGCCAUCAAUCAAAGGACACCCUCUCAUAUGCUUCCAAAAGCUCAAGUAAGCAAGGAUUUUUCUGUAUUAAUAAUUUGAGCAUCCCCAUUAGGUCAGUUCCUAAUUCAGUAUACAGGGGCAUCAUAUUUUUAAAAUAAUUUACAGCGUGAGAAUUAGCAUUCACUGAUUCACUGAGUGCACAAUCUUUGAUAUUAUUCUUAGAUGAAUCAUGCGAAGUUUUUAUUUACAGAAGAGAAAACUAAAG
rnacentral:lncRNA from 1 species